rnacentral:rRNA from 1 species
CCUACGGGAGGCUGCAGUGAGGAAUAUUGGUCAAUGGCCGCAGGGCUGAACCAGCCAAGUCGCGUGAGGGAUGAUGGUCCUAUGGAUUGUAAACCUCUUUUGUCAGGGAGCAAAGGGCGCCACGUGUGGCGCUUUGCGAGUACCUGAAGAAAAAACAUCGGCUAACUCCGUGCCAGCAGCCGCGGUAAUACGGAGGAUGCGAGCGUUAUCCGGAAUUAUUGGGUUUAAAGGGUGCGCAGGCGGAAUGUCAAGUCAGCGGUAAAAUUUCGGGGCUCAACCCCGUCGUGCCGUUGAAACUGGCGUUCUUGAGUGAGCGAGAAGUAUGCGGAAUGCGUGGUGUAGCGGUGAAAUGCAUAGAUAUCACGCAGAACUCCGAUUGCGAAGGCAGCAUACCGGCGCUCAACUGACGCUCAUGCACGAAAGCGUGGGUAUCGAACAGGAUUAGAUACCCUUGUAGC